rnacentral:snRNA from 1 species
AGCUUUGCGCAGUGGCAUUAUCGUAACCAAUGAGGUUUAUCCGAGGUGCGAUUAUUGAUAAUUGAAAACUUAGAAUCCAAUACUGUUUAGUUUAUUUGUCACUCAAAUUAUUCUUUCUGUUGA